rnacentral:lncRNA from 1 species
GAAGGCUUGCAACUUCCAGAGGAAGACUUGGGCAGCAAAUUGCAGUUAAUUUCCAUCAGUUUCAGCUCUUAGCUCAGAAGAGGCUACCCAUCCCCCCACCAUCUAGCCCAAUGGCAGGUAGCUGUGCACAUAUUCCUGGAGUAGCUUGCAGGAACCAGGAUAAGGAAACUGAGGAUCAGAGGCAUUAAGCAAUUUUUAAGGCCAUACAGCCAGCUGGGAUUUGAAGCAAGUCUGCCAGAUUCACAGAAAGGUCCACAGAGUGGCUCAGAAGAAGUGGGGAGGAGAUGGCUGGAAGGUGAUCAGGAGUGGAGGUCCUAUGCUUCCUGGAUACAUGGCAGUCAGCCUUUGAUCUUGGUGCCUCUGGUUAGCUGCAUGCUAGUCUUAAAUGUUUCCAUGCAGUGAGUGUCCCAACAGAUGAUUGACCAAACAACAAAAAACAAAGAAGAGGAUGAAACCAUGCUGAUCACCACUCAAAUGAAAUUCAGAUAUCUGCAAACAAAACCUCUCUUCAAAGAGAAUCAACAACUAUGGUGAAAAUAUGAAUACUGCUUGAUAUCUUUCUUGAAGC